rnacentral:rRNA from 1 species
GACGAACCUUGCUAACGUUAUUCGGAAUUACUGGGCUUAAAGGGUGCGUAGGCGGUGCGGAAAGUCGGGUGUGAAAUCCCCCAGCUCAACUGGGGAAUUGCGCCUGAAACUACCGUGCUCGAGGAAGACAGAGGUACGCGGAACUUAGGGUGGAGCGGUGAAAUGCGUUGAUAUCUGGAGGAACACCGGUGGCGAAGGCGGCAUCCUGGACCGGUAUUGACGCUGAGGCGCGAAAGCUAGGGGAGCAAACGGG